rnacentral:rRNA from 1 species
UACAGAGGGGGCAAGCGUUGUUCGGAAUUACUGGGCGUAAAGGGCGCGUAGGCGGCCGCCUAAGUCAGACGUGAAAUCCCUCGGCUCAACCGGGGAACUGCGUCUGAUACUGGGUGGCUUGAAUCCGGGAGAGGGAUGCGGAAUUCCAGGUGUAGCGGUGAAAUGCGUAGAUAUCUGGAGGAACACCGGUGGCGAAGGCAGCAUCCUGGACCGGCAUUGACGCUGAGGCGCGAAAGCCAGGGGAGCAAACGGG